rnacentral:rRNA from 1 species
UACGUAGGGGGCAAGCGUUGUCCGGAUUUAUUGGGCGUAAGGAGCGUGUAGGCGGCUUUACAGGUCCGUUGUGAAAACUCGAGGCUCAACCUCGAGACGCCGGUGGAAACCGUAAAGCUAGAGUCCGGAAGAGGAGAGUGGAAUUCCUGGUGUAGCGGUGAAAUGCGCAGAUAUCAGGAAGAACACCCGUGGCGAAGGCGGCUCUCUGGAACGCAACUGACGCUGAGACGCGAAAGCGUGGGGAGCAAACAGG